UAAAUACUCCCUCCGUCUCAAAAUUCUUGUCUUACAUUUGUCAAAAUACCGAUGUAUCAAGUCACGUUUUAAUAUUAAAUACAUCCAUAUCUAGACAAAUUUAAGACAAGAAUUUUGAAACAGAGGAAGUACUAC
rfam:Triticum aestivum genome assembly, contig: Triticum_aestivum_CS42_TGACv1_scaffold_307021_4AS